CCAGAACCGAGAUUCUCUUCAGUCUCUCUCAGCCAGCAACCAGGCCAGCCAUGUUCUUCAGUCAUCAUUAUGAGGCAAUCUCAGUUGAAAAUGGGUGCCUGCAGACUCGACCUUUACUGUACAUGGUGGAUGUUUUUGCAAGGAUUAUCUGCACAAGAUCAUGUGUUCAAGGGACCUGAUGGCUCACUGAAGUGGCCCUUGGACCCCAUAUUCCCACGCUCCUCAAGAAGUCCUACAACAAUAAAGAGCUGGUCCACUGUCCCACGGCCAGGAUGGGAUCCACACGUCUCCUGUACCUCAAGUUCGGCAAUCAUCAAGAGCCUUCUUUCCAGCACCCUGUCACAGAAAUUGCUCAGUAAAUAAAAUUAAACAUUACAAAUAAAAAUAAUUGUGUUAACUAAACUGCUGGUGACUUGAAUCAUUGGCAAUUUGUACUUUACUCAGCCCAUUAUAAUGUGACUUGCUGAUA